GACGUAGGGCGCGAGCGUUGUCCGGAUUUAUUGGGCGUAAAGAGCUCGUAGGCGGCUUGUUACGUCGUUCGUGAAAACCCGAGGCUCAACCUCGAGCUGUCGGCGGAAACCAUCUGGCUAGAGUCCGGAAGAGGAGAGUGGAAUUCCUGGUGUAGCGGUGAAAUGCGCAGAUAUCAGGAAGAACACCUAUGGCGAAGGCAGCUCUCUGGGACGGUACUGACGCUGAGACGCGAAAGCGUGGGGAGCGAACAGG
rnacentral:rRNA from 1 species